GAUUUUAAAGUAGGCAUGUUUAUUGUGGCACCGUGUGCGAGGGGUAUAUCACCUCCUUACUCACACACCGAGAACAGCAGUGGUUAUAAAUUUAAAGACAUAACAUAGACAUAUUUGUUACAUUCCAAGAAAACCGGCUGGAAUCCUGAGAAAUUACUAACAUGUUGUACCACGCUCUUGGGGUGGUGGGGGUCUCUUGUGGUUGUUGGUAAACAGCCGAGAGCGGCUUGGCAGUCACCUCUGCCAGCUCCCUCAGGAGUCUGUGGAGGGGCUUUUCCUGUCCCCCGUGCUGUGCACCGUCUUCCUGCACUGCUGGCUCCUGACAUUUUUCACGUGGUGCUGCAUGAGGAUCGUCAUAAGUCUCUCCAUUAGGGUUAUGUAGGCGUCCAUCUGGCAGAGCAGGUCGAGAGCAUUUACGUUGUCCGUUUCCUCUGUUCCUAAGGAAGCUGGGUCCGCUUGUCCCGCUCCCUGUCCCCGAGGUCUUCUUAAUCUUCUCCAGUGGGCACGGGCAGUUGUCAGCAGCCAGAAAAUGGAGAAAAUUGUCAAGGGAGCUGUAAGGAGCCAGGUUCUCCCGCUUUGCAUAAGGUAGUCCCAAAGGUGGCCCAGGAUGCCAGGCAAGCUGUAGGCCUUCUGCUUGGUGCCCGGGGACUGCUGCUUUGGGCCUUGUGGAACAGCAACUUUGCUGCCCUUGUACCAGACCCAUAUGGGACACUGGGAAGAGCCAAGCAAGCAGGACCAGUAUGAGGUUUGGCUCUUGGUUUUCUCUGUAGGCUGCUCCUCUGGAAGGACCUGGUUUGUGUUCGUGUCCUUGGUCCUGAUGGGGCAGGAGGUUAAGCCAAACCAGCAGCGCCGGGUGGAGGUCUGGCUCUUGGUCUCCUCCACAGGUUGCUUCUCAGGAAGGAUCUCGUUGUUGUUCUUGUCCUCGACCCUGAUGGGACAGGAGGUUAGGCCUAGCCAGCAGCGCCAGGUGGAGGUCUCGCUCUUGGUCUCUUCCACAGGUGGCUCCUCUGGAUGGAUCUCAUUGUUGUUCUUGUCCUCGACCCUGAUGGGACAGGAGGUUAGGCCGAACCAGCCCCGCCGGGUGGAGGACUGGCUCUUGGUCACCACCCGAUGCUGCUCCUCGGAAGGACCUUUUGGUCGCAACUGCAGACCCAGCUGAGGUAGCUGGGACAGCCUGGGCCACGUCCC
rnacentral:lncRNA from 7 species